rnacentral:rRNA from 1 species
CAGGAAGCAGCUUGCUGUUUCGCUGACGAGUGGCGGACGGGUGAGUAAUGUCUGGGAAACUGCCUGAUGGAGGGGGAUAACUACUGGAAACGGUAGCUAAUACCGCAUAACGUCGCAAGACCAAAGAGGGGGACCUUCGGGCCUCUUGCCAUCGGAUGUGCCCAGAUGGGAUUAGCUAGUAGGUGGGGUAACGGCUCACCUAGGCGACGAUCCCUAGCUGGUCUGAGAGGAUGACCAGCCACACUGGAACUGAGACACGGUCCAGACUCCUACGGGAGGCAGCAGUGGGGAAUAUUGCACAAUGGGCGCAAGCCUGAUGCAGCCAUGCCGCGUGUAUGAAGAAGGCCUUCGGGUUGUAAAGUACUUUCAGCGGGGAGGAAGGGAGUAAAGUUAAUACCUUUGCUCAUUGACGUUACCCGCAGAAGAAGCACCGGCUAACUCCGUGCCAGCAGCCGCGGUAAUACGGAGGGUGCAAGCGUUAAUCGGAAUUACUGGGCGUAAAGCGCACGCAGGCGGUUUGUUAAUUCAGAUGUGAAAUCCCCGGGCUCAACCUGGGAACUGCAUCUGAUACUGGCAAGUUUGAGUCUCGUA